GUGGUUCAGUACCACUUACAAUAAAUGUCCAGGGGACGUGGAUACCCCCGGGAAACUGACUAUAAACCCUUCCCUGCCACACUUUCUGGAAUGGGUAAUGACUCAAAUCUAUAUCGCCCCUGUUUUGGACUGCGACCGAUCAGGUAGUUGGUGAGGUAAUGGCCCACCACUUUUGUAACCGGUACGGGCUCUGAGAGGAGGAGCCCGGAGAUGGGCACUGAGACAAUGGCCCAAUCCCUAUGGGGCGCCCCUGGCGCGAAACCUCUGCUAUACGCUACAGCUUGACAGGGUUACUCUGAGUGAUUUCCGUUAAGGAGAUCUUUUGGCACCUCUAAAAAUGGUGCAGAAUAAGGGGUGGGCAAGUCUGGUGUCCCCCGCCGCGGUAAUACCACCACCCCUAGUGGUCGGGACGUUUAUUGGGCCUACAGCAUUCGUACCCGGUUCUUCAAGUCUUCUUUUAAAUCCACCUGCUUAACACAUGGGCUGCGGAAGAUACUAUAGAGCUAGGAGGCGGGAGAGGCAAGCGGUACUCUAUGGGUAGGGGUAACAUCCGUUGAUCCAUUGAAUACCACCAGUGGCGAAGGCGGCUUGCCCAACGCGCUCGACAGUGAUGGAUGAAAGCUGGGGGAGCUAACCGGAUUAGAUACUCGGGUAGUCCCAGCUGUAAACGAUGCAGACUCAGUGAUGAGUUGGCUUAUUGCUAACUCAUUGCCGCACGGAAGCCGUUAAGUUUGCCGCCUGUUGAGUACGGCCGCAAGACUGAAACUUAAAUGAAUUGGCGCGGGGAGCA
rnacentral:rRNA from 1 species